ACACUUUCCUAUUGAGAUUCUGACCUUUUCCUCAUCAGAGCUCAUUAGAGUUGGUACAUCCACUAAGAAGGACAACCUACUGCCCAGCAACCUCAGGUAAUGAUUACCAACCCAUCUUUUACAUCUAUCAGAAGUAACAUUUUUAACAGUUCGUGUGUUGUUGUUCCAUUUCCUAAGCUUUUCCCACACUUAGAGAUACACAAGUACUGUGUUUCAUGCUUGGUUGAUUAUGAAGCCAGAUCUUUUGUCUCCUCUGAGGGUUUUUUUGGUGCUUCUCCAGUGCAGAUGAGCCAGGAACCUUCCACAAACAUGUGCUAGAGGAGCCCCCAGUGGGUGGUGAGACUGGUAUCUCAUGGUGGUUGUCAUCAGUCAGCGUGGGUUAGGAUAUGUCUUGCCAAGCCUUCCUGGAGAAGCACAGCUUAGUGAGACCUUAGGGAUCUUGCCUAAUAACAGCAGUUACCUAAUUAAAAAAAAAAAAAAUAAAGGAAAAAGAAAGCUGUCUCCAUAUUUUUGUGGUAGAUGAUAUCCAAAGGAUUACCACUGUGAGUGCAGAGGGAAGAUUAUAAACAUCAAACGAUAGAAAGUGCUUAUAUGUCUGCUGUUGGGUGCAAUUACUCAAGCUUGGAAAAGAUUAAGUAACUUUUAUUUAUACAUCUAAAAGAAGAAGCCAAGUUAAAGUACUUAUAUAGAUCAUCCUCAAAUGUGAAAGUGUGAGAUAAACAAUGCCAACAGCAGUGCAACAUAAAAUCAAGAUUUCAAGCCAAACAUCCAUGAAGGAAGAAGUAUUCCAUGGAAAAUAUCAUAUUCUUGCAGUCUUUCUGACCACAGAAUUACACUCAUUAUGGUAAAGCUAUAAUUGCAGCCUUGUGAAUACAGUGCUGUAGACAAUGGCUUGUCAGUGUUUUUCCACUAUAAACCCUCAUGUGAGGUUUGCAAUUUUAUGAAAUACAAUUAUCUUUGGCUGGGAUAUUCAGCUAUAUUCUCAUCCCAGAAAUUGACCUUUUUUGUGUGCAUAUUAGUUUCCUUUACCGAGUUGUUCAAAGUUCAUUGUUUGAUAAGUGUUUGAGCCUUUCUGAUUUCUUGGCUGCUUGUGCCUUAUCUGUACUGUGAGGAUGUAUGGGGAGUUUGCUGUCACUGGUAAUGCAUCAAUGCUUUGUAAUAUUUAGGGAUGUCAGGCUGUUGCAGAGUCCACACUUUGGACCAAACUGCCUACAUUUGUAGUGAUGUGGUUUGGGAAAGUCAGGACAGCAAGAUUAUAGCAAAUUAGCACUGACUAGCAUAACCAGGCAUGUACAGCAAAAUGUGCUUUAGGGAAUACUAGAGUAUAUUAUUACAGCUAUGGAAGGAAAGAGAAUUGGCUGGGCCAGCUAAAUGGAUAAAAUUGUAAAGAUCUGUCUGUCUUAAAGAAAAAGGAAAUUCUGAAUUGAUGUUUCAAAAAAAUCUUCUAAAACCUGUAGUGAACCCCUACAACGUGUAAAAACCACUUGUGCAAUUCUGAUUUUGAUUCUUUGUUUGGCUUAGCUAGGGGUUUUAUCUGUGAGAUAGUAGUAAUAGAAACCCAAAUCAGGCCAGUUCAUUUUUUUCACAGAUAACUCAAGUGGGAAAACACACUGCCAACAUUGAAUGCCGAUUCCCAGAUUGAAGUGUGUUUAGUUACAAAUCCUAACUAUAUAACACCUGCAUAUGAACUCCUAUAUAAAAUAGGACAUCUCAAAUAACACGUAAUAUCUUACUUAAAAAUAAUUAUUUUGAGACAAAUAUUACAUGCACUUAAGGGAUCUCACCUGAACAGUUCAAUUAACAUGAAUUAAUUCAGUGUCAAUCAAUGCUCUGGAAGAAAACCUGAAAUCCUUGUGCUACAGAGAUCUCUGGUUGCUUCAGCAACUUGUUACAUGUUGCGGGGGAAAACUGCUGAGUUCACAUAGCUAAAAUAAAUACAAAUCAAAGCAGUUUAUUGCUUAAUUGGCAGAGUGUAAUUAUACAGCAAUCAGUGAACUAUGGAAACGAGAUCAGUAAUACAAAUAGGCAAACAAUGCUAGCUAGAGCUUGUAAACAGUCUUCUAUUACUAAUCCCAGAAACACACAGGCACAUGUAUGCACAGAGUUGUAUGCACCCCCUCAACUCAUGGGCAGUAUGGGUUACAAAAACACCCCCCUUCCCAAAGAUUGCAGAUUUCCCUGUCUACAUGUCUCCUGUGGCAGAUGUGGAUCCUCUAUCUUUUUACAGAUCCCUGCAGUUCCCUACAAGUCAUGGGCUGAACCACACACCCCUGAGACAGUUGUUUCACUUCCAAGGUCUGUCCUGUUACAAGUUUUCACACUUCUUUUGUAUUUUUUUUUCAGUCUGGCUCUGGCUGUGUGUCAAGUUUUUUUGUAAUUCCCCAGUAACUGUUUAAUCUGGUUGAUGAUCAUCUGUAACAUGAUCAGUUUGGGCAAAUGUUGGCUGGGCAGGUGGAUGUGUUUCAUCUGCAGACACACACAGAUACUCAAUUCACACACAUCUUUAUCUUCAGGGAUGACAUUGUCUAUGCCUUUGUCGAGGGUGUGCUGUGUAUCCCUGCCACAUCUAUAGUGAGGGAGAGGCCUCCCUGGGAGAUGUGUGGCUCACAGGAGCAGCGAGAGCAAGGGGCAUGGCCGAGCUGCCUGCAGCCAUGUGGCCAAUGCAGCCAUGCAGUCACUGUUCAAACCAGAGUGACUUGUGUUCUGGAUGCAUCCCACUCAGUUGAUGGUAAUGAUAAGUGGGCAAGCAAAUCUAUUUCCAGACUCCCUUCAUGCUCCAAAAUCCAAAAAUAAAAUUAACAGUUGCUUUACUAAAUGUGUUUUGAAUUCCUAUUAUGAUUCUCAAUAAAGGGAUCAUAAAUGGGAUGGAAACAGCAAAUUGAAUCAUUGGAAAAGCUGCAGAGAGACCAUCUGGACCUGGAGAUUUAAUGGAUUGUAAAGAAUUUACAUUUCACACUCCCACAGUUCACAUUUUUUGAGGUGAUAAAGACAUUUGGAUAAUUUUAUUUUUUGGAUGUUUUACAUAAAAUGAAGAGCCAUGAUUGAAACUGGAACGGGAGUCAGGAGAUAACCAGAUUGUGUACAAUGUGGUAAAGUGCUAACAAAUACCCACGUGCUACAUGAUUAAUUUAGUAUAAAUGCCAGUUGUGGAUUUGAUUUGUCAGCAGUUGGCUCAGGUUUUGUGAUUACUGGCCAAUAAUUUAACUGAUGAUUUGAUCUAUAACAGAAUCCUCAACUUUUGGGAAUGAAAGAGAGUUGCAGGGAUAGUGAAAUGCAUUAACUAUACACAGAGCUGUUAGCUGCUAGAAUGGAUACUGAUACGUUCUGGUGUCUUCAUGCAGCUGAUGAAUAGCCUACAGUAUGAUUUAUAGUGGUAAUUCAGGACAGGGAAUAGAACCAAGUGACUGCUAUUGUUUCAAUAUGUCUUCAUGGAGUGUUUUUGAAUUGCAGAUACGGAGGCAAAGAACACUGGGUCCAUCUAUAAAUACAGCUGCAAAGUAUGGCACUGCUCUUGCCUUGGAGUCAAUCUCUAGUCUCUGUUCUUGGCAUAUCAGCACUGGACCAUAGGGAAGGGCCAUCUGUCAGAGUUCACUCUUGACAGAAGUGACCCCUUUAAAUCUUCGUAAGUUUGAGAAUUUUUCAGAAGAUGUGCUGUGUAAAUUACAAGUUACUGUUAUCGCUGGACCAAGCAGAAGCUUCCCUUAAAGCCUUAAGAUUUGACCAGACUAAAAUGGAAUUCAGAUCUGGUUUCUACUUUACAAAAAUCAAUCAAUGCUGUAUUACAUUGCUUUCCCAUUGUCCCUAUGGUGUAAAUGAUUUAGCAAAUGGAAAGGCCAGCUCUAUUCCAAAGAAAAGAUGUAUAAAUAUAUAAAGGCGCCUGCAGACUCCCUGUAUGUGCACAGCUAUAGCUGUUAACAGGAAAUAAUAAUGUACACUGCUUGUGGGAUCAAACUUUUGAUUACAUUAAGGAAUUAAUAAAGAUUUGUAAUGCUUAUUUUA